rnacentral:rRNA from 1 species
UGCAGUCGAACGAUGAAGCCUUUCGGGGUGGAUUAGUGGCGAACGGGUGAGUAACACGUGGGCAAUCUGCCCUUCACUCUGGGACAAGCCCUGGAAACGGGGUCUAAUACCGGAUACGACCUGCCUCCGCAUGGGGGUGGGUGGAAAGCUCCGGCGGUGAAGGAUGAGCCCGCGGCCUAUCAGCUUGUUGGUGGGGUAAUGGCCUACCAAGGCGACGACGGGUAGCCGGCCUGAGAGGGCGACCGGCCACACUGGGACUGAGACACGGCCCAGACUCCUACGGGAGGCAGCAGUGGGGAAUAUUGCACAAUGGGCGAAAGCCUGAUGCAGCGACGCCGCGUGAGGGAUGACGGCCUUCGGGUUGUAAACCUCUUUCAGCAGGGAAGAAGCGAGAGUGACGGUACCUGCAGAAGAAGCGCCGGCUAACUACGUGCCAGCAGCCGCGGUAAUACGUAGGGCGCAAGCGUUGUCCGGAAUUAUUGGGCGUAAAGAGCUCGUAGGCGGCUUGUUGCGUCGGAUGUGAAAGCCCGGGGCUUAACCCCGGGUCUGCAUUCGAUACGGGCAGGCUAGAGUGUGGUAGGGGAGAUCGGAAUUCCUGGUGUAGCGGUGAAAUGCGCAGAUAUCAGGAGGAACACCGGUGGCGAAGGCGGAUCUCUGGGCCAUUACUGACGCUGAGGAGCGAAAGCGUGGGGAGCGAACAGGAUUAGAUACCCUGGUAGUCCACGCCGUAAACGUUGGGAAUCUAGGUGUUGGCGACAUUCCACGUUCGUUCGGUGCCGCAGCUAACGCAUUAA